UUUGAACCAUGUUCAAAUAAAGCAAACCCUGAGCUGUAACAAAUCCGCUGCCUCUGUCCCUCACUUCCUCUUUCUGUUCAUAAACAUUCUUCCACGACGUGCUGUGCUGGAAUCCCUGAGCCUGCUCUGGCCUGGGAGGCUGCCUGAUUUGUCCAGGAUCCAGUCCAGGAGCAUGCAUUACAUUUAGUUGUCACAUGUCCGAAUAGAAGGAAGGAGAUUCCCUUCAAUAUGGAAUAAUUUCUUAGUCUUUCCCUGUCUUCCACAUCCUUCCGUUUUUUGUUUUUGUUUUUAUUUUGAGACAGUCUCACUCUGUCACCCAGGCUGGAGUACAGUGGGGUGAUCAUGGCUCACUAUAGCCUUGACUUCUCCAGGCUCAGGUGAUCCUCCUACCUCAGCCUCCUGAGUAUCUGGGACUACAGGCGUGUGCCACCACACUCGGCUAAUUUUUGCUUUUUUUUGUAGAACAGAGUUUCAAGUUGCUCAGGCUGGUCUCAAACUCCUGGGCUCAAGUGAUCCACCCACCUUGGCCUCCCAAAGUGCUGGGAUUACAGGCACGACCCACUGCAACUGGCCCCACAUCCUUCAGUUUUUAAGAGUGCAGGCCUUUUGUUAUGUAGGAUGGCCCUAGACCUGGUUCCAUCUAAUAUUUCAUUUUGGUCAGACCUCGCCAUGAUUUCUUGACAGGAAAAUGAUGGACAGGAUCCUGGGCUCUGCACAUUACAGCAUAUGAUGUGGUCUUGUCUCAUCACUGGUGAUGUUAAUCUUGAUUGCUUGGUCAUGUUGGUGUCUUCCAUAUUUCUCCUCCAUUGAGUCACCAUUUUCACCUUUGCAAUUGAUAAGCAUUUUGUGGGGAGAUUUUCUAAAAUUAUGCUAAAAUCCUGAUCCUUAACAACUUCUACCCAUCAGCCUUAAUAUUUGUGGAUGAUCCCUAUCUGAAUAAAUUAUAACCAUAAUAGUGUCAUAUGGUGGUUUGCUAUUUUCAUCAUUCCUUCUACAUUAAUUACUUGGUAUUCUACUGUAAGAAAGAAGUUCCACUGCUUCCUCUAUUUAUUUACUUAUUUAUUCAUUUAUUUAGUAGUAUGAAUUUCAAUUUAACAGGUUAAAAACCAUGCUUGUUCUUUGUGAAAGUAUAUAACGUUAUUAUCUUUAUCAGAGAAGAAAUGGUUCUGAACUUCUCAAGAAAGUAUACAAGCAGUAUAAAAAUGAGAUAAUUACACUUACUUAACAUACCUUAUUUUCAUCCAAAUAAACACGAAAAGAAUCCAACAUGAUAUUUGAAAUUCUACCAUAGGGUAUUUUACUAGAAAAAUAGAAUCUUGUGUUUUUGGUAAUGUUUGUUCAUAUCACAAAAUUACUGAGAAGCGAAACAUUUCUAAAUUCACAUUAGAACAUUGUAAUUCACAUUUGUGUUAGAAUGAUGGUUACCAGAGUCUGGGAAGGGUAGUGGAGUAGUAGAAUGGGGGAUGGUUAUUGGAUAUGAAAAUAUAGUUAGUUAGAAUGAAUAAGAUCUAGUAUUUGAUAGCACAACAGGGUAACUACAGUCAACAAUAAUUUAUUGUACAUUUAAAAAUAACUAUAAGACUAUAAUUAGAUUGUAACACAAAGAAAGGAUAAAUGUUUGAAGUGAUAGAUACCCCAUUUAUCCUGAUGUGAUUAUUACACAUUGUAUGCUUGUAUCAAAAUAUCUCAUGUACGCCAUACAUAUAUAUGCCUACUGUGUACUCACAAAAAUUAAAAAUUGUAAAAAUAAAUAAACAAAACAAAACAAAAU
rnacentral:lncRNA from 10 species